AAUCCAGGACAAAUGCUGUUCCAGAGUCAUUCAGCCUUGGACCGGGACUUGAAAUGUACAUUUUGGUGCUGUCCUGCCCAAUCAGGGACGGGUGGCCACCCUAGCUGCACUAUCUCCACUGCAGCACUGGAAGGGCUGUUAUGCUCAAGAGAACCAUUUUUGGGGCAAAAUGAGAGUUGGGUCUUCUGGCAUUUCAGUUCCUGGAUGGUGGCAAUACCAGUUCUCUUGUUACAUUGGCAUCAUGAAGUGCCACUGGGAGCUAUUUCUACGUCUGUGGAAAAGCAAACACAAAUCUGAAUCCUAUGGAACAGAAGUUAAUGGUGCAUUGGACAAUGGCAAGUUCAGAUAAUGGCAUCAUCAAGAGCCUUCCAGCAUUAAUCACAAACACAGACUUUGUCAAACAUAUUUCAGCGUGACUCUGGGGGAAGCUAGGGAAACACUUUGAACAUUGCACUGAAAGGCAUUCAGUGGAAAUGUAUGAUUUCCAGAAAUGUCACAAAUCACAAGUAGAACAAAGACCAUAUAAUUGCUGUGUUGACCAACAAUCAAGUUGUGUCUAUUGCCGCCAGCUGGUUAGGUUUUAAAGGAAAGCAGUGUAAGAUUCAUAGCAUCAUGUGGCAUGCAUGCCAGUGAAGUGAAAAGCACGUCACACAUACCUCUUGGGCAAUGGUAGCCUGUUAUGUUUAUUAAGGUUAUGCCAUGACACUGCUAGUAUGCUAUGUGGAAAGCAGGAGUGAUUACUCUUUAGCUAGGGAUUUCCCUUUCUUUCGAGGAACGCCUUACAACUUUAACAUUUGUGUGACUCUUUCAUUAGGAACAACAGUCAUUUUAUGAUGGUUUGUGUCAGUCAAUACAGAUUCUACUUUAAAUGUAUUUCUCACUUAUGCCAAUUACUCUUCGGCUAGAUUGCAAACCAUUUUUAAUAAGUCAUUUUAUAUUGCAAAUAGGGUUGCCAGUUGUCCGGUUUUUGUCUGGAACGCAUGAUGGAAAAGGGACCCUGGUGGCUCUGGUCAGCACCCUGACUGGGCCCUUAAAAGUCCGCUUGGCGGCGCAGCGGGGCUAAGGCAGGCUCCCUGCAGCUCCCAGAAGCAGCAGCAUGUCCCCACUCAGCUCCUACUCAUUGGGGCAACCAGGGGGCUCUGCACACUGCCCCUGCCCAAAGUACUGUCUCCGGCUCCCAUUGGUCGGGAAACACGGCCAAUA